rnacentral:rRNA from 1 species
UUUAAGGCGUUAUAGCCUCAUCUAUUAACAUCAACAAUUUCUCACAUCCUCCGCAACCCUUCACCCAUAUUGAAUGACUCCAUUAAUAUUAUGGAAGCCACUAUGUCUAAACUAGUAACUAGAAUAUGAAAUUCUCCUUAAUGUAAGUAUAAGCCCAAACGGACACACCAAUGGCAAUUAAAGUUUAUGAACUACCUACAAUAACUCAUUAAAAAAAUUUGUAAUACUAAACGUUAAUCUAACACAAGAACAUUUUAGGAAAGAUUUAAAGGAAAAGAAGGAACUCGGCAAAUUUUAACCCCGCCUGUUUACCAAAAACAUCGCCUCUUGAUAAAUUAUAAGAGGUCCAGCCUGCCCAAUGAUUUUUUAAAUGGCCGCGGUACCCUAACCGUGCUAAGGUAGCACAAUAACUUGUCCUUUAAAUGAGGACUAGCAUGAAUGGCAUUACGAGGGUUAUACUGUCUCCUUUACCCAAUCAGUGAAACUGACCUUCCCGUGAAAAGGCGAGGAUCAAACUACAAGACGAGAAGACCCCAUGGAGCUUUAGACCCAAAGCAACACCCAAUUUAAUGAUUCACCAAAAUUCUAAAUCCCUGACUCCAAGUCUUAGGUUGGGGCGACCACGGAGUAAAACAUAACCUCCAUGCUAAACAGAUAAAAUCUUUAUCUAAGAGUUACAACUCUAAGAAUCAAUAAACUGAUACUUACUGACCCGAAGCCCGAUCAACGAACCAAGUUACCCUGGGGAUAACAGCGCUAUCCACCUCAAGAGUCCUUAUCGACAGGCGGGUUUACGACCUCGAUGUUGGAUCAGGGUAUCCCUGUGGUGCAGCCGCUACACAAGUUGUUG